GACGAACGCUGGCGGCGUGCCUAACACAUGCAAGUCGAACGGAAAGGCCCUGCGCUUGUGCGGUGCUCGAGUGGCGAACGGGUGGGUAACACGUGAGUAACCUGCCCUUGACGUUGGGAUAACUUCAGGAAACAGGGGCUAAUACCGGGGAGGAGCUCCUGCAGCAUGGGGGGGCUUGGAAAGUUUCGGCGGUUGUGGAUCGACUCGCUGCUUAGGAGCGUGUGUGUGGGGUAGUGGCUUACCACGGCUUUGACGGGUAGCCGGCAUGGGAGGGUGACCGGCCACAUUGGGACUGCGAUAGGGCCCCGACUCCUACGGGAGGCAGCAGUGGGGAUUAUUGCACAAUGGGCGGAAGCCUGAUGCAGCAACGCCGCGUGCGGGAUGACGGCCUUCGGGUUGUAAACCGCUUUCGCCUGUGACGCAGCGUGAGUGACGGUAAUGAGUAAAGAAGCACCGGCUAACUACGUG
rnacentral:rRNA from 1 species